rnacentral:rRNA from 1 species
AAUAGAUACCCGGGUAGUCCACGCCGUAAACGAUGGAUACUAGCUGUUGGGGGCGACCUCAGUGGCUAAGCGAAAGUGAUAAGUAUCCCACCUGGGGAGUACGUUCGCAAGAAUGAAACUCAAAGGAAUUGACGGGGGCCCGCACAAGCGGUAGAGCAUGUGGUUUAAUUCGAUGAUACGCGAGGAACCUUACCAAGGCUUAAAUGCAGACUGACCGUUUUGGAAACAGAACUUUCGCAAGACAGUCUACAAGGUGCUGCAUGGUUGUCGUCAGCUCGUGCCGUGAGGUGUCAGGUUAAGUCCUAUAACGAGCGCAACCCCUGUUGUUAGUUGCCAGCGAGUAGUGUCGGGAACUCUAACAAGACUGCCAGUGCAAACUGUGAGGAAAGUGGGGAUGACGUCAAAUCAUCACGGCCCUUACGCCUUGGGCUACACGCGUGCUACAAUGGCCGGUACAGAGAGCAGCCACCUCGCGAGGGGGAGCGAAUCUACAAAGCCGGUCACAGUUCGGAUCGGAGUCUGCAACUCGAC